rnacentral:lncRNA from 1 species
CGACAAAAACUUUAAGAAAAGGUGGGCGUGCGCUAAAAGAUUGGUGUGAGAGAUCUCACACGAUUUCUUUUUGGUGCAUAAUUUUUUUUCCUUCCUUUUUCCAUGCUAUAGUUUCUUAUUUUGAUAAGAUUUGAUCUUAUCUCUUUUGGAGCAUGAGAGAUUUCUUGGUGUGCGACAAAAAAUUUAAGAAAAAAUAAGGUGGCGUGCACUAAGGUUAGGCGGUUUUCUUUCUUACUGCAUAACUUCCUUCCUAACGCCUCCUUUUUUUCUCCCCCUUCAUCCUAAUGCCCAG